rnacentral:lncRNA from 1 species
CUUUGAUCAAGCUUUAUACGCAAUACUAGACAAGACUGAGCUAAACAAUAGGUUUGAUUUCAAUAUUAUGUUUUUCUUUCUAUGACAGCAUUGUUUUUCUUGGGAAGCAAAGUGCAAUAUGCUGAAGCCCAAAGGAAAAUUUGCCCACUAGUUUGCCUCAAAGUUGGCUACAUGACUUGCCCAAAAUCUGGUUCUAAGAAGCUUCAUCCAGGCUGCACAAACUGUUGCAAAGUAAAGAAGGGCUGCAAACUUUAUAGAUCUAAUGGAAGCCUAAUUUGUACUGGAAAGUAAUUGGACAUGCGAUAAAUCUUAAAUAAAUUGUCAUAUGUUUAUGCUAUAAACAGGCAAAAUAAUAAAUGAAUCUCUUAUAAUAAAUCCAAGAUUCAGGUUUAAUUGUAUUGAUGGACGUUGUUUCUAUGAAAUUAUCCUUUACAUAAUUA